rnacentral:rRNA from 1 species
UACGUAGGGUCCGAGCGUUGUCCGGAAUUAUUGGGCGUAAAGAGCUCGUAGGCGGUUUGUCGCGUCUGCUGUGAAAUCCCGAGGCUCAACCUCGGGCCUGCAGUGGGUACGGGCAGACUAGAGUGUGGUAGGGGGAGACUGGAAUUCCUGGUGUAGCGGUGGAAUGCGCAGAUAUCAGGAGGAACACCGAUGGCGAAGGCAGGUCUCUGGGCCAAUUACUGACACUGGAGAAGCGAAAAGCAUGGGGAGCGAACAGG